ACUUACAAAUGGAGUUUAUUGUAUAAGAGGCGAUAAAAAUCGGAAAUAAAGUGUUCUUUCAGAGGUUGCUCAACUAUCUCACAGGAAUAUUGUUUUCCAGAGGGUUCUUUAGGAGGUGGGAAUCGAGCAGAAUACCUACAUCAGGAUCACAUGAGGUAGUUGUUUGAAAUGCCAGGAAAAUCUGGCUUCAACCCAGUCCCUUUGAAUGGGGUCUGGGAAUCAGCCAUUUAGCAAACUCCGUGGUGACUUACAUGCAUUAAAGAUUGGGAAAUACUUGUCUAGAGUCUAUAGUAGUACAAGAUUGAGUCCUAGCUAAUUUAUACACAAGUGGGCCAGCACCUAGAUUUCAUUAAGGACAGCCUUGGGUCCAUAAUUGUAUAAUAGAGAGGCUUGGUUAACACCUGUAUCGGGAGUUCUCAAAUUUCUGUUUGAAUAAUGUAUUUCUGGGUGUUGCACAGUGAGGCCAAACAAUACUGAAACACUGGCGUCUGGAACGGAGAAAGGUUGAUUCCAAGGUCAUGCUCACGCCUAAAGAACCCCAAAGUUACCGAAAGCUUUCAGCAAAGCCCGUUUAAAGCAAAAGUGAGGGAGGGACUCAGUUGUUGCAAACGUCUUGGUGUCAGAGCCUUUCUUCUUGAAGUCAGGUCGUGGUCAGGUAACAAUGGCCCUGUAAGUCUUUACCAAACGAAUGUACUGCUCUGUCCUGACGAGGAAGGGCGAGGUCUCGAGGGCACAGCGUUCGCCCUCCAGGGGCCCGGUCCUGGCUGAGAGGAGGCAGACUCAGACGCCAGCUCCCCCGGGCCGGGUUCCCACAGGCUGCCCAUAUGGGGUGGGGGGACCGGGUCCCACAGACGGACCCGGCAAGACGGCCACCGCUGGUAGGUUGCAGAAACAGGGGCGGGGAAGAGGUUCGUCGCUGCCUCAAGGCCUGGGCCCGCCGGGGGUCCUUGGUGAGGCUCCCGAGCCCCGCAGAGCACGACCCCACCUGUUACCUGGGCCCCCAGCGCCGCUGGCCCAAGUUGAGGAAGGGGGAAAAAAUGUGAAGAUGCCCUUUGAACUCUUGUAGAUGGGUCAGUUCCACUGGAUAGGGAGACGCAUACUUGGAUGUGGAUCAAGCCAGCUAUCUUGUUGAAGAAGGACAGCUGCUAUGGGUGGCCCCAGUUGGACUGGAACUGCUCCCAUCAGGAUUAUGAUUUUACCCAGAACAGUAAAGAAGCUUGUCCCCAGUGGAGCUUGCGAAGGCUGCUGCUUCCUGUGAGGGUGUGACUCCUUCCCCAAGGUCGUCCUCACCAGACACUGCCUUUACCCUAGCAUCUGUCACUCUCCCCACUUCAUCUUCCACAAUAACCACCACAAUGGAGCCUCAGCACACCAGAGACUCAAUUAAAGACUGUUCCAAAGGCUGCCUUUGCCCACUUCUUUCAUCUCAUCC
ensembl:lncRNA